rnacentral:sRNA from 1 species
UUAACUGCCUGGCAGGCUAAGUUCGUCACAUCCUAUGACAACGCCUGUACUAGCACGUCCUGUGCG